UGGGGAAUAUUGCACAAUGGGCGCAAGCCUGAUGCAGCCAUGCCGCGUGUAUGAAGCAGGCCUUCGGGUUGUAAAGUACUUUCAGUCGGGAGGAAGGUGUCAAGGUUAAUAACCUUGGCAAUUGACGUUACCGACAGAAGAAGCACCGGCUAACUCCGUGCCAGCAGCCGCGGUAAUACGGAGGGUGCAAGCGUUAAUCGGAAUUACUGGGCGUAAAGCGCACGCAGGCGGUUGAUUGAGUCAGAUGUGAAAUCCCCGGGCUUAACCCGGGAAUUGCAUCUGAUACUGGUCAGCUAGAGUCUUGUAGAGGGGGGUAGAAUUCCAUGUGUAGCGGUGAAAUGCGUAGAGAUGUGGAGGAAUACCGGUGGCGAAGGCGGCCCCCUGGACAAAGACUGACGCUCAGGUGCGAAAGCGUGGGGAGCAAACAGG
rnacentral:rRNA from 1 species